rnacentral:misc_RNA from 1 species
AGAGUCUGCAACCAAAGUAGAACAAAAACAUUCAGUAUUAUGUAUAGAAAAAUAAUCUAGUAUCAAUUCAGAACUUACAGUUCUAAAUUAGUUGAAUAUUAACCGCAAAGCAGUGGUCUAUUAAACAUACAUGAAUAUUCAUUUAAUAAUAGUUUAGGCUGUCAUUGUUGACCCUUAUAAAGGGAUAGGGUGUUUAAGGUGUUUAUACACGAAGAACCAUAGAAAAGUCAAGUCGUAGAAAAACUAGAAUAAACUAGAUAUCUCCAUGUUCAUAUUAGUGGUUAAGAAAUGCAGUAAUAUUUAAUUUAUGACCUUGAUAAGGUGAUACAGAUUAAAGACAGAUAUCGCGUGAUGAAAGUUUUAGAACUGGAUAUUUUUAAAAGUUGGUAUUGACUAAUAAAAAACUUGGUACAUUCAUACACCUGCGUGUAUAUCAUUUAUAUGUACGAGGAAUUUAUAAUAACCAUGAUAUGUAAUGCUCGAUCCUGUUACAUGAUGAUACAAGUAAACAAACAGGUUUUACCGGCACAUGUAUUAUAUUAUUAUUCAUGGAUUUUUAAAAAUGAGAUAUACGUUGUCAUUCAUCGUAAUCUUAAAUGAUGAGUGUUUGAAACACGCUUAUACCGGGUACUUGUGUACUGGCACAUUUGUACAUGUAGCAUAAUUGCACUGAGUAUGAAUUUCAUAUUUUUUAUUUUGAAUUUAUCAAAUAUUACGUUACUUUCUAAAUAGGUAUUUAUCAAAUCCAUUGUUUAAAAGAUGUAUGAACAUGAUGCUGGUGCCUCAAAUUAUAUGCUGAAAUUGGAACUCAAGAUAAUACAAUGUACUUUCUCUGGUCCAUGUGAACUUUAUAUUGGUAGUUACAUAAUUGAAUCUCAAGGUGUGACCUAGUCAUUAAAGACACAACCAAAGCUUUUGUC